GCCAGGCGUGGUGGUGCAUGCCUGUAAUCCCAGCUACUUGGGAGGCUGAGGUGGGAGAAUUGCUUCAGCCCAGGAGGUUGAGGCUGCAGUGAGAUUUUUGCACCACUGCACUCCAGCCUGGGUGACAGAGCAAGACCCUGGCUCUA
ensembl:misc_RNA Metazoa_SRP Metazoan signal recognition particle RNA